rnacentral:lncRNA from 1 species
UAAAAUAGAUACACACAUAAGAUGGUAACAUAGGAGACUGUCUAAAAUAGAUACACACAUAAGAUGGUAAUAUAGGAGACUGUCUAAAAUAGAUACAUACACACAUAAGAUGGUAAUAUAGGAGACUGUCUAAAAUAGAUACACACAUAAGAUGGUAAUAUAGGAGACUGUCUAAAAUAGAUACAUACACACAUAAGAUGGUAAUAUAGGAGACUGUCUAAAAUAGAUACAUACACACAUAAGAUGGUCAUAUAGGAGACUGUCUAAAAUAGAUACAUACACACAUAAGAUGGUCAUAUAGGAGACUGUCUAAAAUAGAUACAUACACACAUAAGAUGGUAAUAUAGGAGACUGUCUAAAAUAGAUACAUACACACAUAAGAUGGUAAUAUAGGAGACUGUCUAAAAUAGAUACAUACACACAUAAGAUGGUAACAUAGGAGACUGUCUAAAAUAGAUACAUACACACAUAAGAUGGUAACAUAGGAGACUGUCUAAAAUAGAUACAUACACAUAUAAGAUGGUAAUAUAGGAGACUGUCUAAAAUAGAUACAUACACAUAUAAGAUGGUAAUAUAGGAG